rnacentral:rRNA from 1 species
UACGAAGGGGGCGAGCGUUGUUUGGAUUUACUGGGCGUAAAGGGCGCGCAGGCGGCCCACCAUGUCGAGUGUGAAAGCCCCGGGCUCAACCUGGGAACUGCGCUCGAAACGGGUGGGCUAGAGAUCGGGAGAGGAGCGUGGAAUUCCCAGUGUAGAGGUGAAAUUCGUAGAUAUUGGGAAGAACACCGGUGGCGAAGGCGGCGCUCUGGACCGAGACUGACGCUGAGGCGCGAAAGCGUGGGGAGCAAACAGG